GCUUUUUAAUAACACAGGGAAGGUGUGAUGUAGAUGUCGCUAGGAAGCUUCAAACAAAAUCCAUAAUCAAUUUCAUCUUUGGGUUAUUUUCCUUACUAUGCAGAUUUUUCUUUUGUUUUCUGUAGAUGGCAUCAAAGCGGAAUGCUGGGACUACUUCCUCCUUCAACCCCAGAGCAGACCCAGCUCCCAAGUGCCCUGUGAUCACAGCUGUGAAGAGCAUGCUCUUGGCAGGACGCCACAAGGAUGACAAGUGUUGUCCUUGACUUUGUCACACUGACGUGUUGUAACGCCCAGAGACAGUUCAAGGCACUGGGCACCGUGAGCAGCACGUCCACACGCAGCCUCGUGCUAGGUGCUGUGGGGAAGUGGGGACAACAGGUGCACCCUGGCCACAAGCGACUCCCACUGCAGUCAGAAGAAGGAGUGAUCUGUAGAUGCCAUCAGCUCUUAGCGGACCCUCUCUGUGCCCUGCCUCUACCUUGCCUGAGCUUAAGUCUCAUCUCGGAUGCUUGGAUGCGGAUCCUUGGAUGCGGCAGCCAGGCCAGCUGGCACGACCAGCUGUGUGAGCCCAGAGUUUGGAACAGCUGGAUUCUGAAGUGCCCGACCUUGGUACGUUGA
rnacentral:lncRNA from 1 species